rnacentral:rRNA from 1 species
GAAAAUUUCCCCUUGCUAUACAUGCAAGUAGAACGCUGAAGUCUGGUGCUUGCACUAGACGGAUGAGUUGCGAACGGGUGAGUAACGCGUAGGUAACCUGCCUCAUAGCGGGGGAUAACUAUUGGAAACGAUAGCUAAUACCGCAUAACAGUAUUUACCGCAUGGUAGAUAUUUGAAAGGAGCAAUUGCUUCACUAUGAGAUGGACCUGCGUUGUAUUAGCUAGUUGGUGAGGUAACGGCUCACCAAGGCUUCGAUACAUAGCCGACCUGAGAGGGUGAUCGGCCACACUGGGACUGAGACACGGCCCAGACUCCUACGGGAGGCAGCAGUAGGGAAUCUUCGGCAAUGGGGGCAACCCUGACCGAGCAACGCCGCGUGAGUGAAGAAGGUUUUCGGAUCGUAAAGCUCUGUUGUAAGAGAAGAACUGUGAGAAGAGUGGAAAGUUUCUCACUUGACGGUAUCUUACCAGAAAGGGACGGCUAACUACGUGCCAGCAGCCGCGGUAAUACGUAGGUCCCGAGCGUUGUCCGGAUUUAUUGGGCGUAAAGCGAGCGCAGGCGGUUUGAUAAGUCUGAAGUAAAAGGCUGUGGCUUAACCAUAGUACGCUUUGGAAACUGUCAAACUUGAGUGCAGAAGGGGAGAGUGGAAUUCCAUGUGUAGCGGUGAAAUGCGUAGAUAUAUGGAGGAACACCGGUGGCGAAAGCGGCUCUCUGGUCUGUAACUGACGCUGAGGCUCGAAAGCGUGGGGAGCGAACAGGAUUAGAUACCCUGGUAGUCCACGCCGUAAACGAUGAGUGCUAGGUGUUGGGUCCUUUCCGGGACUCAGUGCCGCAGCUAACGCAUUAAGCA